AUUCUGUGGGUGCCUGUCCAGAUAAGCCGAAAGCUCACGCACCAAAUCAAAUAAAGAAAUGAGAACACAUAAAAUAAUCUGUUAGAAAGAAAAGAAAAAUGAUCUCACAGUUGUUUGUGCUCUCGCAAAGAGGAGAUAACAUCGUCUUCCGGGACUACCGUGGGGAAGUACCGAAAGGGAGUGCCGAAAUUUUUUUCCGCAGAGUUAAGUUUUGGAAAGAGGAUGAAGGAGGGGAUGCUCCACCUGUCUUUAAUGUGGAUGGUGUGAACUACUUUCAUGUGAAGGUUGCUGGCUUGCUAUUUGUUGCAACAACGAGGGCUAAUGUCUCACCUUCACUCGUUCUGGAAUUUCUUCAAAGAAAUGCACGUGUCAUCAAAGAUUACCUUGGUGUUCUCAGUGAAGAGUCACUGCGCAAAAAUUUUGUGCUUGUAUAUGAAUUACUGGAUGAAAUUAUUGAUUUUGGUUAUGUGCAAACAACAUCAACUGAGCUUCUGAAAUCCUAUGUAUUUAAUGAGCCAAUCAUGGUUGAUGCUGCAAUUCUGCCAAACCUUGGUCCUGCAGCCCUUUUUGUGGAAGGGGCCAAGAGAAUGCCUGGAACAGCUGUUACCAAAUCAGUUGUAGCUAAUGAACCUCGUGGCAGGAAGAGAGAUGAAAUUUUUGUAGAUGUAAUCGAGAAAAUAAGUGUUACAUUCAGUUCUAGUGGAUACAUACUUACUUCUGAGAUUGAUGGCACCAUUCAAAUGAAGAGUUACCUUACUGGCAACCCAGAAAUCCGGCUUGCUUUAAAUGAUGAUUUAAGUAUCGGAAGAGGGGGAAGGUCAAGCUAUGAUUACAGUAGUGCAUCUGGAGCUGGGUCAGUGACUCUGGAUAGCUGUAAUUUCCAUGAAUUGGUACAUCUUGAUAGUUUUGAAACUGACAGAACUCUGAUUAUGGCUGCACCGGAAGGUGAAUUUUCUGUCAUGAACUACCGCAUUUCUCAGGAGUUUAGGCCUCCCUUCCGUAUUAAUGCAUUAAUUGAAGAAGUGGGACCUCUUAAGGCUGAAGUUAUCAUUAAAUUGCGUGCCGAAUUCUCAUCCAGUGUCACUGCAAAUAGUAUAUUUGUGCAGAUGCCAUUGCCAGCAUAUACUAGCAGGGUAUGGUGGACAGCCCAAAAGAAAACAUUGCACAUCAGAAAGGAAAAGACAAGAUCUAAAGAAACCUUAUCUUGCUGGAAUCAGAAUUACAUUGAUAGCACUGAUUAUUUGGGCAAAUUUCAGGGCUAGUUUUGAGCUGGAGCCUGGCACAGUUGGAAACACCACGGACUUCAAGGAAUCAAGUAAGAGACUUGAGUGGGGUUUGAAGAAGAUUGUUGGAGGAUCUGAACAUACGCUACGUGCAAAGCUGACAUUUUCACAAGAGAUGCAUGGAAAUAUCACCAAGGAAGCUGGACCGGUUAGCAUGACCUUUACUAUUCCGAUGUACAGUGCCUCAAGAGUUCUGGUAAAGUACUUGCAAAUAGAGCAGAAGGCAUCAACCUCAAACCCAUACCGAUGGGUGAGAUACGUCACGCAAUCAAAUUCGUAUGUUGCUCGUUUAUGAAUGAUUGCAUCCCUUCCCUCCCACCUGUAUUUCAUGCUCCUUUUUAUAAUUCCCUUACCUUAAUCAAACGACAACGACACAAAAGGAGUAAAUAAAAAUGCUGAACCUAUUUAGAAAUUUAUCUAGUUAUGUCUUUGCCUUUUUAUCAGUCA